GAUGAACGCUGGCGGCGUGCCUAAUACAUGCAAGUCGAGCGAACAGACGAGGAGCUUGCUCCUCUGACGUUAGCGGAGGACGGGUGAGUAACAUGUGGAAACCCUACCUAUAAGACUGGGAUAACUUCGGGAAACCGGAGCAAAUACCGGAUAAUAUCUUGAACCGCAUGGUUCAUUAGUGAAAGACGGUUUUGCUGUCACUUAUAGAUGGAUCCGCGCCGCAUUAGCUAGUUGGUACGUUCAUGGCUUACCAAGGCAACGAUGCGUAGCCGACCUGAGAGGGUGAUCGGCGACAUGAGAGCGGGACCGCGGACAAGGCGCCUGCGGGAGGCAGCAGUAGGGAAUCGUACGCAGUGGGCGAAAGCAUGGCAGAGCAGCGCCGCGUGAGUGAUAAAGGUGUUGGGAUCGGAAUGCUCUGUUAUGAGGGAAAAACAAAUGUGUAAGUAGCUAUGCACGUCUUGACGGUACCUGGUAAGAAAGCCACGGCUAACUACGUG
rnacentral:rRNA from 1 species